UACGGAGGGAGCUAGCGUUGUUCGGAAUUACUGGGCGUAAAGCGUACGUAGGCGGUUAUUCAAGUCAGAGGUGAAAGCCCGGGGCUCAACCCCGGAACUGCCUUUGAAACUAGAUAGCUAGAAUCUUGGAGAGGUCAGUGGAAUUCCGAGUGUAGAGGUGAAAUUCGUAGAUAUUCGGAAGAACACCAGUGGCGAAGACGACUGACUGGACAAGUAUUGACGCUGAGGUACGAAAGCGUGGGGAGCAAACAGG
rnacentral:rRNA from 1 species